CACUAUCGCGCCACUAUCGCGCCACUAUCACACCACUAUCGUGCCGCUAUCGUGCCACUAUCACGCCGCUAUCGUGCCACUAUCACGCCACUAUCACACCACUAUCACGCCACUAUCGCGCCACUAUCACGCCACUAUCACACCACUCACACCACUAUCGUGCCACUAUCACGCCACUAUCACACCACUAUCGUGCCGCUAUCGCGCCACUAUCACGCCACUAUCACGCCACUAUCGCGCCACUAUCGCACCACUAUCGUGCUGCUAUCGCGCCACUAUCGCGCCACUAUCGCGCCACUAUCACGCCACUAUCGCGCCUCUUACCGCGCCGCGCUCGCGAUACGACGGCGCCGCGCCCCGCCCCCGCAGACGAGCUGGAGAUGCUGGAGCGCCUGUGGCUGUCGGGGAUCUGCCACAACGACAAGAUCGAGGUGAUGAGCAGCAAGCUGGACAUCGACAACAUGGCCGGCGUCUUCUACAUGCUGCUGGUGGCCAUGGGGCUCAGCCUCCUCGUCUUCGCCGCCGAGCACCUCGCCCACUGGCGCCUGCGCCGACGGCCCCCCCGCCCCCGCCCCCGCCCGCCCCGCAGCGCCCGCCUGCUGCUGGCCUUCAGCAGGGUAACGGGGCCGGGGGUGGGGGGUCGUGGGGGGGGUUGUGGGGGGGUUGUGGGGUUGU
rnacentral:lncRNA from 1 species